UGCUACAAACGAGCUUCUUCGUUCAAUGCAAGCUCCAUGCCGAUGCUCACAAAAGUGAAUGUAACAUGUACUGCUUGGACUGUAUGAAUGGUGCUCUCUGCUCGCUAUGUCUCUCACUUCAUAGAGACCACAGAGCAAUCCAGGUAACUAACCAAACAACAUUCGCUAAUUAAUGACUUUUAAUUUCAAUUAAUUUAUCAAAUUAAUGGGGUGGGGGGAUUUUAUGACAGAUAAGGAGAUCAUCAUACCACGAUGUGAUCAGGGUUUCGGAGAUUCAGAAGUACCUGGAUAUAACAGGAGUUCAAACGUAUAUCAUAAACAGCGCAAGAAUUGUCUUCUUGAACGAAAGACCUCAGCCCAGGCCUGGUAAAGGCGUCACAAAUACUUGUCUUGUUUGCGAACGCAGCCUCCUUGAUUCCUUCACUUUCU
rnacentral:lncRNA from 1 species